rnacentral:rRNA from 1 species
UACGUAGGUGGCAAGCGUUGUCCGGAAUUAUUGGGCGUAAAGCGCGCGCAGGCGGCCUCUUAAGUCUGAUGUGAAAGCCCCCGGCUCAACCGGGGAACGGGCACCGAUACGGGCGGCCUCGAGGGGGGUAGGGGGGUCUGGGAAGCUUCCGGUGGAGCGGUGAAAUGCGUUGAGAUCGGAAGGAACGCCCGUGGCGAAAGCGAGGCCCUGGACCCUUUCUGACGCUGAGACGCGAAAGCCAGGGGAGCGAACGGG